rnacentral:tRNA from 1 species
GUUAGCUCAGCCGGACAGAGCAAUUGCCUUCUAAGCAAUCGGUCACUGGUCCGAAUCCAGUAC